CAGCCGCCGCGGUAAUACGGAGGGUGCAAGCGUUAAUCGGAAUUACUGGGCGUAAAGCGUGCGCAGGCGGUGUUGUAAGACUGAUGUGAAAUCCCCGGGCUCAACCUGGGAACUGCAUUGGUGACUGCAACGCUGGAGUGCGGCAGAGGGGGAUGGAAUUCCGCGUGUAGCAGUGAAAUGCGUAGAUAUGCGGAGGAACACCGAUGGCGAAGGCAAUCCCCUGGGCCUGCACUGACGCUCAUGCACGAAAGCGUGGGGAGCAAACAGGAUUAGAUACCCGCGUAGUCCCUGUCUCUUAUAA
rnacentral:rRNA from 1 species